CUGGCAUCUUGCACAAUUAACGCAAAUGGCCGCAAUUUGCUCGUGGUGGCAGGGACAAACAUUUGCUUAAAACUGUGUAAUCGCUUCAUUGUCGCAUUUUCCGCAAAACCACGGACUCUGAAGCACCACAGCGCCCAGUUGGAAACCGGGAAGUGGAACCAAGGAGGAUAUGCAGCACUCUUCAUUGCACCAAAGUUGACCCACAGACGCAGAAAGAGACGGCGGCUGGCGGCAGAAAGAGACGGCUUGCGGCGAGCGGAAAGAGAUGGAGCGCAAUGAAAAGCAGCCGACGGACAACGGAUUUUGUCAACCAGCAUUUCCCUCUCGCAAUUUCCUGGAGCCGGGGAGAACUGAAUUGAAUUUACGCUCAAACAAUAACAUUUGGAAAGCUGCCCAGCUUUGUGAGUUUGCCAGUUUGGAAAAGGCUCUGUGGGCGUUUGCCUAAGCUUAUUUUCAUUUAACGUGCUGAAGAUUGAGUCUAAUAUAACAAGUGUAAAGCAGCUCUAUAUUUAUCGUACCGCCCCUACUUUCGCAGUCAACGGGGAUAUCCUAGUCAUUCAAUGGGAGGAUCUGUUACAUGAACUUGUGUGAAUUACUUACAGUUUUCAGUCGAUUGGCAAUUGUUUUAUUAAGCGGGGUUUUAAUUUAUAGUAGUUGGGUAUAUAUUAAAAGAAAAUCAGUAUUCUCUAGGAUUCUCAUGGCAUUUCUCUGCAUUUUCUGGAUUGCAGAAAGCAGAAAAACGGUAACCAUACGUUGUGACAAAGCCACGAUGACUUUGGUCAUGGGUUUGGAUUGGUGCAGUGGAACUCAGUUGGUGCUCAAAAUAACUUGAUUGAUUUAUCAGAAUAAAAACUUUAUUUCCUAUCGAAAUAU